UUAAUUUCUUCAUUUUUGAAAGCAUUCCUCUUGUGAUAUUCAGGUGUAAAAUUAAAGACAGAAAGGCAAGCAAAUUUUAAUGGUCUAAAAUUGAGAGAUUAAUUCUGAGAUCUGUGAUUUUAUUUUUUUUCCUGGACAGAGCAGGUGCAAAAUGUUCCUUUUGUGCCACUCUUCACCUUUUUAUUCUCCAUUCCUGUCACUUUUCUGCGCAGGUUUUAUAUAAAUAGAACAUGAAUGGAGUUGCCUGCUCUGAUCCAGAUGGAAGGAUACAGGGCUGGUGUAAUUUUAGUGUGGAAGGUGCUUUAGUUUUCAUUUAAAUUCUGUAAAUAUGCAUCUUCUUCACUGAACAAGUGAAGACAAACUGGAAGGCAUCAGUGAUAAUUGUACAUGGAAGGCAGGAGACCUUGGCAUUGGUACCCACACAAGCUUUUCAGUUUUGAACAACUUAAUGUGGAUGAAUCACUGACCUGAUCUUGCAAACAAUUACCCAUGUGUUUAGUUUUAUGCACUUCUGCAGAGCUGUUGCAGGCAGCAAGUUAAUUGAAAUUUGGAGUACGUGCACAAUCGAUAGAUCACAUUGGAAUGGAAUUUUGUGCUUGAAAACAAUUUUGCUGUUGCUUUACAUGUGAAUUCAGUUAAUUUAGGCACUGGUUUAUGAAGCUGCUCCAAUUAUUGCAAAUGUUUUGUCCCCCUCCAGGUAAUAGUGUCAUCAGAGAGGAGGUAGAAAAAGCAGCCUUGAGAAUAAAUUUACCCCAGGAAAUGAAUCAAAAAUUUACCAAGGCAUUGACAAUCUGAAAUUAUUUCUUCUGCUGCUGACAGAGUCCAAACUGAGAUCUACAAAGCCAUUGAUCCUUAGUGUCUGUGCUGUACUGCAAAUCAACCUCCACCGUUCUCCAGUGUUAUCCUGGAGAGCUCCAGGGGCUGCAGCAGUGAUAUUUGUUUUAUUCUGUGUGCAGCUGAUGCUAGCAGACUUUAUUAGCCCAUUACUUCAUUGUUACUUUGUGUAUCUCGAUUAUAAAUAAAAGUAAUGCUGGCCUUAAGCACAGGAGCCAGUGUAUGUGACUGGAGUUUGUACACAUAAAUUAUAUAUAAAUCUGUCCCAGGAUUGAGGAGACUGGAAUUUUUAGAAAUUUUAAAGAGAAGAAUCAUAAAGGGCUUUCAAAUUCAGCUCCCACCCAGUUCCUUUACAGAAACUCAAAGCUGAGGCAAGUCAGGAUAAAUCCAUAAAAACAAUGCUUCAGAACCAGAGAGUGGUGUGAUGCAAAC
rnacentral:lncRNA from 13 species